AUCCGAUUAGAGUUUGAUCCUGGCUCAGGACGAACGCUGGCGGCGUGCCUAAUACAUGCAAGUCGAACGAACUCUGGUAUUGAUUGGUGCUUGCAUCAUGAUUUACAUUUGAGUGAGUGGCGAACUGGUGAGUAACACGUGGGAAACCUGCCCAGAAGCGGGGGAUAACACCUGGAAACAGAUGCUAAUACCGCAUAACAACUUGGACCGCAUGGUCCGAGUUUGAAAGAUGGCUUCGGCUAUCACUUUUGGAUGGUCCCGCGGCGUAUUAGCUAGAUGGUGGGGUAACGGCUCACCAUGGCAAUGAUACGUAGCCGACCUGAGAGGGUAAUCGGCCACAUUGGGACUGAGACACGGCCCAAACUCCUACGGGAGGCAGCAGUAGGGAAUCUUCCACAAUGGACGAAAGUCUGAUGGAGCAACGCCGCGUGAGUGAAGAAGGGUUUCGGCUCGUAAAACUCUGUUGUUAAAGAAGAACAUAUCUGAGAGUAACUGUUCAGGUAUUGACGGUAUUUAACCAGAAAGCCACGGCUAACUACGUGCCAGCAGCCGCGGUAAUACGUAGGUGGCAAGCGUUGUCCGGAUUUAUUGGGCGUAAAGCGAGCGCAGGCGGUUUUUUAAGUCUGAUGUGAAAGCCUUCGGCUCAACCGAAGAAGUGCAUCGGAAACUGGGAAACUUGAGUGCAGAAGAGGACAGUGGAACUCCAUGUGUAGCGGUGAAAUGCGUAGAUAUAUGGAAGAACACCAGUGGCGAAGGCGGCUGUCUGGUCUGUAACUGACGCUGAGGCUCGAAAGUAUGGGUAGCAAACAGGAUUAGAUACCCUGGUAGUCCAUACCGUAAACGAUGAAUGCUAAGUGUUGGAGGGUUUCCGCCCUUCAGUGCUGCAGCUAACGCAUUAAGCAUUCCGCCUGGGGAGUACGGCCGCAAGGCUGAAACUCAAAGGAAUUGACGGGGGCCCGCACAAGCGGUGGAGCAUGUGGUUUAAUUCGAAGCUACGCGAAGAACCUUACCAGGUCUUGACAUACUAUGCAAAUCUAAGAGAUUAGACGUUCCCUUCGGGGACAUGGAUACAGGUGGUGCAUGGUUGUCGUCAGCUCGUGUCGUGAGAUGUUGGGUUAAGUCCCGCAACGAGCGCAACCCUUAUUAUCAGUUGCCAGCAUUAAGUUGGGCACUCUGGUGAGACUGCCGGUGACAAACCGGAGGAAGGUGGGGAUGACGUCAAAUCAUCAUGCCCCUUAUGACCUGGGCUACACACGUGCUACAAUGGAUGGUACAACGAGUUGCGAACUCGCGAGAGUAAGCUAAUCUCUUAAAGCCAUUCUCAGUUCGGAUUGUAGGCUGCAACUCGCCUACAUGAAGUCGGAAUCGCUAGUAAUCGCGGAUCAGCAUGCCGCGGUGAAUACGUUCCCGGGCCUUGUACACACCGCCCGUCACACCAUGAGAGUUUGUAACACCCAAAGUCGGUGGGGUAACCUUUUAGGAACCAGCCGCCU
rnacentral:rRNA from 2 species